rnacentral:tRNA from 1 species
GUAUUUAUGGCAAUACAAUCCUGACUCUUAAUCAGCGGGUUGGGAGUUCGAUCCUCCCUCGGCCCACCA